ACUCCCUACGGGAGGCAGCAGUAGGGAAUAUUCCCACAAUGAGCGAAAGCUUGAUGGAGCGACACAGCGUGCACGAUGAAGGUCUUCGGAUUGUAAAGUGCUGUUAUAAGGGAAGAACAUUUGCAAUAGGAAAUGAUUGCAGACUGACGGUACCUUGUCAGAAAGCGAUGGCUAACUAUGUGCCAGCAGCCGCGGUCAUACAUAGGUCGCAAGCGUUAUCCGGAAUUAUUGGGCGUAAAGCGUUCGUAGGCUGUUUGUUGAGGUGUGGAGUUAAAUCCCGGGGCUCAACCCCGGCUCGCUUUGGAUACUAGCAAACUAGAGUUAGAUAGAGGUAAGCGGAAUUCCAUGUGAAGCGGUGAAAUGCGUAGAUAUAUGGAAGAACACCAAAGGCGAAGGCAGCUUACUGGGUCUAUACUGACGCUGAGGGACGAAAGCGUGGGGAGCAAACAGGAUUAGAUACCCUGGUAGUCCACGCCGUAAACGAUGAUCAUUAGUCGGUGGAGAAUCACUGACGCAGCUAACGCAUUAAAUGAUCCGCCUGAGUAGUAUGCUCGCAAGAGUGAAACUUAAAGGAAUUGACGGGGACCCGCACAAGCGGUGGAGCAUGUGGUUUAAUUUGAAGAUACACGGAAAACCUUACCCACUCUUGACAUCCUUCGCAAAGCUAUAGAGAUAUAGUGGAGGUUAACAGAGUGACAGAUGGUGGCA
rnacentral:rRNA from 1 species